CCCGUGUUAGCACAGUUGGUAGAGCGCUCCACUGGAAAUGGACAGGUCCCGGGUUCGAUACAUGGACCAGGUG
rnacentral:tRNA from 1 species